ACUUCAGAAAAGAUGUUUCCCUUAAUAAGGAUUAUAUGGUGAAAUCUGCUAGUAUAUGUGGAACAAUACAACACUCACAUCAUUUCCUGAAAAGAUGUAGAGUUGGAAAGCAAUUAUCUACUUACCAAACAAGCUAAAUCAACAGUUCCUGAUAUUCUUCUGAAAUAUUCAACUUCCCAAGAAUCCGGAAAAAAUAGUUCCAUGAGACGGUGCUAUGAAUGAAGGUAUAACAUUUCAGUUUCCUUCAGUUGGAAUUUGACAUCUUGGGGCAAUAAAUUACUGUGUAUGUUA